UCGAAUCGACCGACAGUGUACUUUGUAAAUGCAAUGAAACGAAAUUAAUAACCACAUCACACUUCAAAGAUUUGUAAUUAUAAUUUUUUUCAAAGUCCCUCAUGUGUUUAAGAAUUCAUACAUAAAAUAGUAUUCAUACAUUUGUUUAACUUCCGUUAUCAACGACCUUGUAAGUUAACAAUAUGGUGUGGAACAAAGCUUUUAAUCGUUUAGUACCUUUAACAAGCAGGACUAUUUGGCGAAGAAACUUUACUUACGGACCGCCAAAGAACCGCAUUUCCAUGCAGGAAAAAAUUGUGUUAUGGAGCGGCGCCAUGGUGAUAAUCACUGGACCAAUGCUUUGGGUAAUGGCUCACUUGAAACAGUACCAAGGAAAAGAGUAGCACGAGCAAAGUGUAGCAGACGACAAAAAAGGACUUUCCAUAUUUGGAAUUGAUAGAACUAAUAUAGAACACCCGAUAUACUUUAUUUGACAAAAAAUGACGCAAGUGAAUGUAUAUGAAUGAAAAUUUAUUAAUUUCUAAGAAUUACUUGCUUUUAUAAAUAAAGUAUUUCCAUACUGGAA